rnacentral:rRNA from 1 species
AACGAACGCUGGCGGCGUGCCUAACACAUGCAAGUCGAGCGCGAAUGGAGCAAUCCUAGUAGAGCGGCGCACGGGUGCGUAACACGUGGGUAAUCUGCCCAGAAGACCGGGAUAACCUUC